AUGAACGCUGGCGGCGUGCCUAACACAUGCAAGUCGAACGGGACUAUCAAGUGAUGUUUCGGACUGAACUUUUAGUUAGUGGCGGACGGGUGAGUAACGCGUGGACAACCUGCCUCUCACUGGGGGAUAGCAGCUGGAAACGGCUGGUAAUACCGCAUGCGUUCAAUGUGCCGCAUGACACAUUGAAGAAAGAUUUAUCGGUGAGAGAUGGGUCCGCGUCUGAUUAGCCAGUUGGCGGGGUAACGGCCCACCAAAGCGACGAUCAGUAGCCGGCCUGAGAGGGCGGACGGCCACAUUGGGACUGAGACACGGCCCAGACUCCUACGGGAGGCAGCAGUGGGGGAUAUUGCACAAUGGGCGCAAGCCUGAUGCAGCGACGCCCGCGUGAGUGAAGAAGUAUUUCGGUAUGUAAAGCUCUAUCAGCAGGGAAGAAAGGCCCGCAAGGGAGAUGACGGUACCUGACUAAGAAGCCCCGGCUAACUACGUGCCAGCCGCUGC
rnacentral:rRNA from 1 species